GGAGCCGUGGCACUGUCAAGUCAUCAGAUGCGGUGAUUGCGAGGCCUGUGGGAAAGUACAAAAGCCUGGGCUAGAUUACCCCUCUCAUCGAGCCCGCCUGUGUGGCACCUGUUUCUUAUCACCCCACUAAGUUCCCGCCUCACAGGGUAGUCUGCCUAGCUAUUAAUCCUAUAUAUAGCCAGUGCCUCCACCCCCGGGAGAGAGACUGAAGCACAAAAGGAGCCGCGGGGAGCGGACCGGUAGAGGCUUCGGGGCAGACUGAAGCACGGAAGGAGCCGCGGAGAGCGGACCGGUAGAGGCUUCGGGGCAGACUGUAUAAGGAGAGAAUAAAGAAAAGCCUGACCACCGCCAGACCUUGUCGUGUGUCUUUCCUGCCGGCCGGGAGCGACAUCGACAUUUGGAGGCCCGCACGGGGAUUGAUCAACCCCGAGACGCGGCGGUGGACUGCAUUCUCCUACACAGUGCUGCAGCUGCAGGACAGGAAUCGGGACGAGAACCAAUGUGGGUCCCAGAGAGGUUGACGCGACAAGUCCCUCGACUGAAGAUCAGGCCUGUUCCACCAGAGGCCAACCGCAGACCCAACAACAAGAUGAGCCCUAAAAGAACUGCAGGACAAUCCCUUUUUGGGGGCCUGGAACGGCUUGCUCCCCUAUGUGCUACCCUUGUAUACGCAUGGCUCGCUCGCAUGGCCUACGACCGCGUUUAAAAGUGACAGGCUUCCCACAUUCUCCUCCCUAGACAACAACAUGUAGCAGGGUGGGUGAGUCAAUGACGGGUAAGAGCGUGCCUCCCCAGCACGACUCAACCUAAGCCAGGCCCUACCCCGUUCCGCUCGAAAGCCGCUGGAUUGUUAGAUAAAUUUCUCUCCGAGGGGAUUCGUGGAGAGAAAUGAGUGCAUGCCUAUGUGCAACCAGGUUCCGUCCGGUUCAUUCCUGGCCCUAGAAAAAAGGACGAGGGCCUCAGGGCCUUGGUGGACCCUGGGACGGCCGACCAGGGUCUACGCUAAGGGCCUACGGUGGGCCUCAGUUCGGGGCAUAGGCCUCUGCACUCUAUCCAGGACGGGCUGCGAUGCGCGUAGCCAUCAUUUAAAAUAAAAUAGGGGGAGAUGUUGGGAGCCGUGGCACUGUCAAGUCAUCAGAUGCGGUGAUUGCGAGGCCUGUGGGAAAGUACAAAAGCCUGGGCUAGAUUACCCCUCUCAUCGAGCCCGCCUGUGUGGCACCUGUUUCUUAUCACCCCACUAAGUUCCCGCCUCACAGGGUAGUCUGCCUAGCUAUUAAUCCUAUAUAUAGCCAGUGCCUCCACCCCCGGGAGAGAGACUGAAGCACAAAAGGAGCCGCGGGGAGCGGACCGGUAGAGGCUUCGGGGCAGACUGAAGCACGGAAGGAGCCGCGGAGAGCGGACCGGUAGAGGCUUCGGGGCAGACUGUAUAAGGAGAGAAUAAAGAAAAGCCUGACCACCGCCA